UACGUAGGUGGCAAGCGUUGUCCGGAUUUACUGGGCGUAAAGAGCGCGCAGGCGGUCGAUUUAGUCGCGUGUGAAAGCCCCCGGCUCAACUGGGGAGGGUCACGCGAUACUGAUCGACUCGAAGGCAGGAGAGGGUAGUGGAAUUCCCGGUGUAGUGGUGAAAUGCGUAGAUAUCGGGAGGAACACCAGUGGCGAAGGCGACUACCUGGCCUGUUCUUGACGCUGAGGAGCGAAAGCUAGGGGAGCAAACGGG
rnacentral:rRNA from 1 species